AAAAAAUAACUAAAACCUAAGAGAAAGAACAGAAAUCGCUGGGUGGGAUGAUGUCAGAGCUUCAGUUUCAUUUUCCCUUUGCCAAAAAAACAAAGGAACUCAAAUCAAAUCACGUCAAAUGCUGCGAUAAGCAAACAUCAGCCAAUUUCGUGGGAACAUUCCUGCGGCGAACAAAGUAAUCAAACUUAUCAAACAAACAUCAGUCAGGCAAAGUGGACAAAUCGUCUCUUUCAAAAAAAGAGCCCCCCCAAUAUGAACCCCAUAUAUGUUGUAUAUGUAUCGCCGAUGCGGAUUCGCACUGUUUAUUUGUUUGUUUUGCUUUUGUGCGAGAUGCUUUUAUAUUAUUAUUAUUAAUCAAUUUGAUACUUUUACGAGGGCACUCAGGCGCGAAUGUUCAAGGAUUUGUUGCCCCAAAAUGCCAUCGAUAUUUGCCUUUUUGGAUCUCUGGCUUUUGCUUUAUUUGCAUAAAACUUUUAUGAACUUGCGCCGGGAGAGAAUAUGGAAGAUGGCGAUCAGAGAUCGCGUCGCGGCUAUCACAUUACUGCUGGGCGAGUGACUCACAUUUCACAUGGCUCCUCUCCUGCUCUGCAUCCAUUCCUGCAAGUCAUCCAAGAUCCAGGGGAUCCGGGGAUCGAACGGAAGACCCCAAGGCAGCCGCCACCCCCUCGCCUACCCGCUGUCCGUUGCUCCAUCGGUGCCAGUGUGCGGCUCAUAACUCAUCAUCAAAGUUAAUCACACAUCAGGGAUUAUGGCGCUUAUCAUUUAAGACCCGGCCCGAACUCGGCUCUUACCUGACUCUUGGCUACUCCAACUGCCAGCUUCAAGCUCCAAGAUCGAGCUCCAAAUGACUUUUGCUGAUCGCCGGGGGGACAUUAAAUGUGGCAGGCAGGUGGGGCAGCGGGCAAUAGGCCACAGCUGAGAUUUAAUUUACGAUUUCUGCAAAUUAAUAGCAUUUAAUUAAUAACAAUAAAAUGACGCCUUCCCCUUAUGGACAUUUAUUUGACGCGUGAUUUACGAGCAUUUGUAAUGCGUUUGGGUUUUGUUUUUUUUUGUUUGUGGCGAGUGGAUUUAAGGUCUAGUAAAUGGAAAAUUUUAAUUUGCAUUUUUACAGUGGGAAAUUCAAUUACUUGCGAAACUUGGCUUAUCUACCCGUUGACUUUAACCACUAUACCAUCUUUCGAAGUGGUAAAAAUUCAAUUAGCCGCGAUACAGCACCCUUAAUCCCCCAUUAAUCCAAUAAAGGUUUCAACUUCUUUAUGCUCUGCCAUUUAUAAUGGAAGCAAAAAAAAAAAAGGCGAAAAUAAACAGACAGGAGCAGACUUCAGAACCCAGAUGAUUUCUCCAGAUUCCGUAAACACAGUACCAUUCGUUUCCAAUUAAUUAAAACUUCAGUUUUUUCUGCUGGCCGAUAGCCGAUAUUUGAUUUGAUUUUUGCGCUGUAAUAAUUGCGCUGCCAGCGCAUCGUAAACAAAUCAAAGACGGCCGCUAAUUCUAAUGAAGCGAUGACGAGCUGUGAAUAGAUUGGCAACACAAAUAAACAGAUCCAGCUGGAGCUGCGGAUUGGCAUUGCACUUGAAUCAAUCAGAGGAUCCAUAACAGUUUGCCAAUUAAGUGAGGAAAACUGUGCGCUCGAGUGGGCCACACAGGGUGGGAAAAAGGCCCGCUGACUGAUGGCAAGGGAUUCCGGGAUUCUGGGACUCAAGACUCCAAACUCCACAAAACUGAGAAACCCUAAGUUGCCACCUAAGUGGCGGCCCUCAAGUGGCCCACCUCAGACCCCGUUGACACACAUAUCGCACAUAUAGAACGUAUGUGUUUGUGUGUGUGUGAAUCGUUUAGGUGGGUGACGUGAUUUCUUCAGAGUUUCAACUCGUAUUUUUUCGACUAUAUCCUGUGUCGCUUCCUCAGUUGUAAGUUUUCGCUUCCUCUGCGAUCUCAAUCAGUGCCGGGAAUCAAAGGAUAUGCCAUAUCUGCUUACACCAUAGAGCACGUGCAUCUGCAUAUAUAUUCACAUAUAUGCUGCAUAUAUACAUACAUACAUAUAUGUAUAUAUAUAAAAAAAGGGGUGACUCCCCUGGCAGCCGUAACUUAAUGCGCACUUGAAUUAUGUCGUUAAAUUGUGUCGUUUCCUAAUCGUCGGUUUCCCUGGGGUACCCAAGACAAGUAAUCCGAGACCCUCGCAAAAAAAAAGCCCACAGAUGGGAGAUGGUACAUGGUAUGGUAUGGUAUGGCCUGGACUUGGGUUUGGGAUGGGCAAAACAAACAAAGCCCCCGAACUUGUCUCUGGUCGAGAGCGGGCUAUUAACUCGACCUGACUUGGCCAACUCGCGUCCUGACUUGGCUAAUGAUGAUGAGUGCCUAAUAAUCUUCGUGCCAUAAUAAUUUCGCCCGACCAUUAAGAGCGUCAAAUUGGCAGCCAGCCAGUCAGACAAUUUAAAUCAAUAAAACUGCAGUCGCGCGUCCAUUAAAAACGCAUCAGAGGCGAAUAAAAUGGGUGAGGA
rnacentral:misc_RNA from 1 species